UUCAUCUUCUAUUCCUCCAUUACAUCAUGGAAGGGUUGACAUGGAAGUAGUGAGAGAGUAUAUUGCCAAAACUAAAGUAAGUUUAAUUUUAUAUUAAAUGAUGAUGAUGUGAUUAUCUUUUUAAAGCAUUUGGUUACUUACACACUUUUUAUCUUCUUAUUUUUUUUUUCAGAAAGAGAAAUCAUAUCAAGAAAUUUUUCUUCCGGUAUCCAACUCAUGAAAAUCUUUCUUGGAAUCAAGGAUGACUGCUGUUGUUGCCUUUUAAUUGAUAUUGAAGUAGAUCUAUGAACUUAUUUUGAGUGUUGUUAUUGACUUGUAGUUGAUAUUGAAGUGGACUAGUGAACUUACUUAUUUUGAGUGCUUUAAGUGUAGUUGAUAUUGAAGUGAAGUUUUGAACUUAUUUUGGACUUUUGAAUGUUUAAAAAUUUGUAUUAUUUAUUUAUGGAUAAAACAGUAAGUGUA